UUUCCGUAGGUGAACCUGCGGAAGGAUCAUUAAUGAGUUGUCAUGGGGUUCGAUGCUGGCAGCCAAUUUUUGGAUGCAUGUGCUUGCCCUAACAAUCAUCUUCCAAACACCUGUGCACAUUUUUGAGGGAGUCUUGAGUUGGUUGCCGCUCUUGGGUGAUUUUCUCACAUUCCCUUAAAUCAUUAUACGCUAUUAACAAUGUUGAACGUGCUUUGUGCCGCAAGGCUAUUUAUAUAAUACAACUUUUAACAACGGAUCUCUUGGCUCUC
rnacentral:misc_RNA from 1 species